rnacentral:rRNA from 1 species
AGUUCGAUUAUGGCUCAGAUUGAACGCUGGCGGGGGGAUGCUUUACACAUGCAAGUCGAACGGCAGCACGGACUUCGGUCUGGUGGCGAGUGGCGAACAGGUGAGUAAUGUAUCGGAACGUGCCCUAGUAGCCGGGGAUAACUACGCGAAAGCGUAGCUAAUACCGCAUACGCCCUUCGGGGAAAACGGGGGACCUUCGGGCCUCGCACUAUUAGAGCGGCCGAUAUCCGGAUUAGCUAGUUGGUGGGGUAACGGCUCGCAAGGCGACGAUCCGUAGCUGGUUUGAGAGGACGACCAGCCACACUGGGACUGAGACACGGCCCAGACUCCUACGGAGGCAGCAGUGGGGAAUUUUGGACAAUGGAAACCCUGAUCCAGCCAUCCCGCGUGUGCGAUAGAGAGGCCUUCAGGUUGUAAAAACACUUUUGGCAGGAAAGAAACGGCACGGGAUAAUGCCCGUGCAGCUGACUGACACCUGCAGAAUAAGCACCGGCUAACUACGUGCCAGCAGCCGCGACAGCUACGUAGGGUGCAAGCGUUAAUCGGAAUUACUGGGCGUAAAGCGUGCGCAGGCGGUUCGGAAAGAAAGAUGUGAAAUCCCAGAGCUUAACUUUGGAACUGCAUUUUUAACUACCGAGCUAGAGUGUGUCCAGAGGAGGUGGAAUUCCCGCUGAUAAUAACAGUGAAAUGCGUAGAUAUGCGGAGGAACACCGAUGGCGAAGGCAGCCUCCUGGGAUAACACUGACGCUCAUGCACGAAAGCGUGGGAGCAAACAGGAUUAGAUACCCUGGUAGUCCACGCCCUAAACGAUGUCAACUAGCUGUUGGGGCCUUCGGGCCUUGGUAGCGCAGCCUAACGCGUGAAGUUGACCGCCUGGAGAUACAGUCGCAAGAUUAAGAAAACUCAAAUUGACAGGGGACCCGCACAAGCGGUGGAUGAUGUGGAUUAAUUCGAUGCAACGCGAAAAACCUUACCUACCCUUGACAUGUCUGGAAUCCCGAAGAGAUUUGGGAGUGCUCGCAAGAGAACGGAACACAGGUGCUGCAUGGCUGUCGUCAGCUCGUGUCGUGAGAUGUUGGGUUAAGUCCGCAACGAGCGCAACCCUUGUGCAUUAGUUGCUACGAAAGGGCACUCUAAUGAGACUGCCGGUGACAAACCGGAGGAAGGUGGGGAUGACGUCAAGUCCUCAUGGCCCUUAUGGGUAGGGCUUCACACGUCAUACAAUGGUCGGGACAGAGGGUCGCCAACCCGCGAGGGGGGAGCCAAUCCCAGAAACCCGAUCGUAGUCCGGAUCGCAGUCUGCAACUCGACUGCGUGAAGUCGGAAUCACCUAAGUAAUCGCGGAUCAGCAUGUCGCGGUGAAUACGUUCCCGGGUCUUGUACACACCGCCCGUCACACCUUGGGAGUGGGUUUACCAGAAGUAGUUAGCCUAACCGUAAGGAGGGCGAUUACCACGGUAAGUUCAUGACUGAGGUGAAGUCGUAACAAGGUAA